rnacentral:lncRNA from 1 species
GACGACCAUGGGGCCACGACAGAGAAGCAAGAGGGUGCAUUGCACUGAGAACAAGCAGCUUGUCCUCUUUCUCCCAGAAUAGCUCACCAGGACUGAACUAUUUCUACUUAAAAUAUUAUACUUCUGGGAAGUUGAUAGAUAAGCAUGGAAUGUCGAGAAAACUAAGGCAACUGACCAUGUGUCUCAAAGAGGGCAGCCCCAUAAACUUCUGCGAGGCAUUAUUAAGAUGCUCUCACUCUUGUUGCUGCUUUUAUACACUACUCUUCUGUGUUUAUAGCUGCAACGUCAAUGGGCAGGCGAAUUUCUACUUCUCUUGUCCAGUUGCUAGAGGAAAGCAGAAAGUUGCACACAUAACUGAUGGUUGAGUCAGUCCAUGAAACUCCAGACAUCAUUCCCCGGGG